rfam:Glycine max cultivar Williams 82 chromosome 19, whole genome shotgun sequence.
UUCUGAUUGGACGAUGACGGUCACAUAUCAGGUUCUGAUUGGACGUUGACUCUAUGGACGAUGAAACUGUAUUGUUGUUGUCAACUUCCAAUCAGAACUGACACCUGAUAAUCAUCGUCC